AUUGAACGCUGGCGGCAUGCCUUACACAUGCAAGUCGAACGGCAGCACGCGAGCAAUCCUGGUGGCGAGUGGCGAACGGGUGAGUAAUACAUCGGAACGUGCCCAGUAGUGGGGGAUAGCCCGGCGAAAGCCGGAUUAAUACCGCAUACGACCUACGGGUGAAAGCGGGGGAUCGCAAGACCUCGCGCUAUUGGAGCGGCCGAUGUCAGAUUAGGUAGUUGGUGAGGUAAAGGCUCACCAAGCCUUCGAUCUGUAGCUGGUCUGAGAGGACGACCAGCCACACUGGGACUGAGACACGGCCCAGACUCCUACGGGAGGCAGCAGUGGGGAAUUUUGGACAAUGGGCGCAAGCCUGAUCCAGCCAUGCCGCGUGCGGGAAGAAGGCCUUCGGGUUGUAAACCGCUUUUGUCAGGGAAGAAACGCUCUGG
rnacentral:rRNA from 1 species